GAGGCCCAUCAUGCGUUAGUCGGCCAUAUUUGAAUUUUGAAUCACUUGUUUAUUUGUCUAUUUGUGUUUGUUCCAAAGAGUAAAAUAACUAGCUUGUUUGUUCAGUGUUCGUUGUGAUUUUAAUUUUAUUGUGUUAUUCCCUACUUUUUGGCUGGCUUGUUACUUGGACCCCGGACUGAUUGCAUGACUGAUAACUUGGCUCUUUAUUACGCGGAUUACAAUUUUUGCAAUUUUGAUUAUUUUAAAAUGCCGAAAUCAGCUGAAUUAAAAUGUUAUUUCAAAUGUGAUAUUGAUGGACCCUUACAUCGCUUUCCCAAAUGGGAAUAUCCUCAUACAGAGAAGUUAAACCAAUGAAAAUUUUAAAAUUUUGGUAGGAAUGAUCAUGUUAAAAAACAAGCAUCCGAUUAUUAUAAUAAAAGAUGAAAAUAAACAACAGUUUUAUAAAUUCUA